AAGUCGAACAAGGUCUCCGUUGGUGAACCAGCGGAGGGAUCAUUACCGAGUUUACAACUCCCAAACCCCUGUGAACAUACCUUAAUGUUGCCUCGGCGGAUCAGCCCGCGCCCCGUAAAACGGGACGGCCCGCCAGAGGACCCAAACUCUAAUGUUUCUUAUUGUAACUUCUGAGUAAAACAAACAAAUAAAUCAAAACUUUCAACAACGGAUCUCUUGGUUCUGGCAUCGAUGAAGAACGCAGCAAAAUGCGAUAAGUAAUGUGAAUUGCAGAAUUCAGUGAAUCAUCGAAUCUUUGAACGCACAUUGCGCCCGCUGGUAUUCCGGCGGGCAUGCCUGUUCGAGCGUCAUUUCAACCCUCAAGCCCUCGGGUUUGGUGUUGGGGAUCGGCUCUGCCUUCUGGCGGUGCCGCCCCCGAAAUACAUUGGCGGUCUCGCUGCAGCCUCCAUUGCGUAGUAGCUAACACCUCGCAACUGGAACGCGGCGCGGCCAUGCCGUAAAACCCCAACUUCUGAAUGUUGACCUCGGAUCAGGUAGGAAUAAGCGUUC
rnacentral:rRNA from 1 species